CAGGAAAAGACACAGUAGGUUAGCAUAAAAAGAAAACACUUGUUUCUUGCAUGAGAAAACAGGACUGAGCUGAGCACGCGCGGAUUCACCUCCCCGUCAAGACCCCUGGCUCCGCCCUAUGAUGCAGUCUCCAUAACAACCACAGUUUCCUGGGAGGUAAAGCUCAGGACCCUGUACUACUAAAGAUUUCUGCUGAUGGGCAUUCACAUGACACAAUCAAGCUGACUAUAGCUCCUAUUCCAAACUGGGAAAAGAAGUUUUCAAGAGACAGAUCAAGGCUUAUCAACAACCACUAGGCACAGUACAAAGCACAGGACAAAGCACACAAACUUAUCUAAGAGAUGUCUGCAUUGUAUAUCACCUUCUCAUCAUAUGAAGACUCUAGAAGUGCCCUUGUUCAUUGGAUACACUGCCAGAUUGAAUGUAUAUAACCAAUCAGACGGACACUCAAGGAACAGAAGUUGAUUAACUUUGACAUAACUGCUUUCUGCAGUGACACAUAUAUAAGUGAGUAUGGUUUUUGGUAUGUUUUUCAUGUAUUCAAUGUUUAUGCUGUUUUCAUACCAGAUGUCUGUGUAUAAGUGUGUUGUUAUUAAUGUGUAUGUAUUAACUAGAUUAGACAUUCCAAGCACUGAAGCACCAAAACUAUCAAUGUUUUUUGAUGAGAUGAACUAAUAAAACGAGUUACAAACAUCUCCAGUAGUGAUUACUCUUUCUUUCUCUGUCCCUCUUUGUCUCUCCACUAUAUCUAUUUUUCUUUAUAAGGCUGUUAGAAAUCAGUCUUUAAGUAACUGAGUAAUUCAGUAUAAGAUCUAUACUAGAGAGCACAGUUUGUGAAUGUCAAUAGAACAAAACAAUUCAGCUGUACUGUAGAAUAUAACCACAAUUACAAUUCCCUCAUUUAUUCAUUAAUUUUUAGUUGCUGCUUUAUCCUGUGGUUUGGUGCAUACACCAGUCUAUCACAAACACUCACAUCUAGGGGCAAUUUAGACUAACCAAUCCGAUUCCUGGCAUGUUUUGGGAGGUGUGAGGAAUCACUGAGUAUUUAAAACCCACAUGGAUGUGGGGAGAACACGCAAAGCUCCGGCCAGACAGUAAAUAGAGCAGAGGAUAAAACCCCAGACCCCAGAGCUGUGAGGCACCAACACUACCUGCUGUGUCCCUACGCUGCUCCAUCUUGUUUAUACUUCCUAUGUCAAUGGGAUAAUAUGCUAAAUCAGUGGGCUAUUAAAUACUUUUUGUACA